AUACCUUUCUCGGCCUUUUGGCUAAGAUCAAGUGUAGUAUCUGUUCUUAUCAGUUUAAUAUCUGAUAUGUGAGUCAUUGACUCACACGAUAUUAACUUAAUUUUUUUUAGGGGGAGAGUCCAUUAAGAUAGCUUGCUAUCUGGGCUUUCGAGUGUCGCCCUCGCUUUGCACUAUUGCACGGGCCUGGCACACCCCAC